UGCCAAAGGCAACCACGGCUGAAAAGCGAUGGACGCAAAGUUAUCGAUCUAAGGAACUCUGGUUCUAUGAUAGCGGGACCGCCAA
rnacentral:ncRNA from 1 species